rnacentral:rRNA from 1 species
CGUGCGAGAAAGUAUCUUCGGAUAUGAGUAGAGCGGCGGACGGGUGAGUAACGCGUAGGAAUCUACCUAGUAGAAGGGGAUAGCCCGAGGAAACUCGGAUUAAUACCGUAUACCUCCUUCGGGAGAAAGAAGGCCUCUCUUUGAAGCUUUCGCUACUAGAUGAGCCUGCGUAAGAUUAGCUUGUUGGUGAGGUAAAGGCUCACCAAGGCUACGAUCUUUAGCGGGUCUGAGAGGACGAUCCGCCACAUUGGGACUGAGACACGGCCCAGACUCCUACGGGAGGCAGCAGUGGGGAAUAUUGGACAAUGGGCGAAAGCCUGAUCCAGCCAUACCGCGUGUGUGAAGAAGGCCCUAGGGUUGUAAAGCACUUUAAGUUGGGAAGAAAAGUUAUUGGUUAAUACCCAAUGACCGUGACAUUACCAUCAGAAUAAGGACCGGCUAAUUCCGUGCCAGCAGCCGCGGUAAUACGGAAGGUCCAAGCGUUAAUCGGAAUUACUGGGCGUAAAGCGCGCGUAGGUGGUUUAUUAAGUUGGGUGUGAAAUCCCCGGGCUCAACCUGGGAACUGCAUCCAAAACUGAUUCACUAGAGUACGAUAGAGGGAGGUAGAAUUCACAGUGUAGCGGUGGAAUGCGUAGAUAUUGUGAAGAAUACCAAUGGCGAAGGCAGCCUCCUGGAUCUGUACUGACACUGAGGUGCGAAAGCGUGGGUAGCGAACAGGAUUAGAUACCCUGGUAGUCCACGCCGUAAACGAUGUCAACUAUCUGUUGGAAAGCAUUGCUUUUCAGUGGAGCAGCUAACGUAAUAAGUUGACCGCCUGGGGAGU